AUUUUCGCUGCCAUCUUUGGUUAUUUGGAGAGAGAGAGAGAGAGAGAGAUUCAGUUACAAUGGCAUCAGAAUAAUCUCUUGCAUCUGUCAGGAUUUAGGAGAUGAUUUCAAGGCCAUUAAAGUCCACUUAGAUCUUUCAUGCAUGCUUUUGUCAUUUUCGCUUAGAUACCCAACCAUACAUACAAACAUCCAUACGUACAUACAUACAUACAUAAAUACAUAUGCUUCUAUCCUCUCAGUGUUUUGGGUUUUGAAGGCCUUCGAGUGAGAGAGAGAGAGAGAGAGAGAGAGAGAUAUGGAAGCUGUUAUCCAAACCAAAGGCCUCCUCUCUCUCCCUUCAAAUCCCAAAACCAGACCUUUCCGCCCUUCACAACCCCUCAAAUCCCGAUUUCUCACCACCAAACCCAUCAAAUCCCACCUCACCUCAUCUUCUCUCUCCCCCGACGGCCCCCGACAAAACCCAAUUCCCAAAACUCAUGGGUUUCUCAAGAAUCGCCGGAAUCUUCACUUACGCCGGGUCGAGUCCGCUGCCGCGGCGGACCAACCUGCUUAUAUCGAGGAAUCAGAGAAACCCAAGUUCCUGGGCGUUGAGAUUAUCACGUUAAAGAAGAUAAUCCCGCUUGGGUUGAUGUUCUUCUGCAUCCUCUUCAAUUACACUAUCCUCAGGGACACCAAGGACGUCCUCGUCGUGACAGCCAAAGGCAGCAGUGCUGAGAUUAUACCGUUCUUGAAGACUUGGGUAAACCUCCCGAUGGCCGUUGGAUUCAUGUUCUUGUAUGCGAAGCUGUCGAAUGUUCUGUCCAAGGAGGCCCUCUUCUAUUCGGUGAUAUUCCCUUUCAUUGGCUUCUUCGGGGCGUUCGGUUUCCUUCUGUACCCGCUCAGUGACAUGAUACACCCGACGGGGCUUGCAGAUAAGCUCGUGGCGGCACUUGGGCCGAGCUUUCUAGGCCCUGUCGCGAUUCUGAGGAUUUGGAGCUUCUGCUUGUUCUAUGUCAUGGCGGAGCUAUGGGGGAGCGUGGUGAUUUCUGUUCUGUUUUGGGGGUUUGCCAAUCAGAUUACUACUGUUGAUGAAGCAAAACAAUUCUACCCGCUAUUUGGUCUCGGAGCAAAUGUUGCCCUUAUCUUCUCAGGCCGCACAGUGAAGUACUUCUCUAAUCUGCGCAAGAAUUUGCCUCCGGGGGUCGAUGGGUGGGCCAUUUCCCUCAAAGGAAUGAUGAGCAUUGUGGUGCUUCUCGGGCUCGUAAUAUGUGGGAUUUACUGGGGAGUGAAUACCUUUGUUUUGAAUGACCCCUCUUUGCCGAAAGCAAACCGUAAGAAGAAGGAGAAACCCAAACUAGAUACCAAGGAAGGCAUGAAGUUUCUACUGUCUUCGAGAUAUAUCAGGGAUCUUGCCACUUUAGUGGUUGCCUACGGCAUCAGCAUCAACCUCGUUGAAGUCACGUGGAAAUCGAAGCUCAAGGCCCAGUUUCCUAGCCCGAAUGAAUACUCAUCCUUCAUGGGUGAUUUCUCCACUGCCACCGGGAUUGCAACAUUCACCAUGAUGCUGCUAAGCAGAGUGAUACUCCGCAGAUAUGGGUGGGGAGUUGCUGCCAUGAUCACUCCCACAGUGUUACUCAUCACAGGAGUUGCAUUCUUCUCUCUGAUUUUGUUUGGCGAGCCACUGGCUCCUAUUAUAGGGAGUUUCGGGAUUACUCCUCUACUUGCAGCCGUUUAUGUGGGAGCUUUGCAGAAUAUUUUCAGUAAGAGUGCAAAAUACAGCUUAUUCGAUCCUUGCAAAGAAAUGGCUUACAUACCCUUGGACGAAGACACUAAGGUUAAAGGCAAGGCAGCCAUCGAUGUUGUCUGCAACCCCUUGGGCAAGUCAGGAGGGGCUCUGAUCCAGCAGUUCAUGAUUUUGACAUUUGGGUCUCUUGCAAAUUCGACUCCUUACCUUGGAGGAAUACUGUUGGUGAUUGUCCUUGCAUGGUUAGCUGCAGCAAGGUCUCUGGACAAGCAGUUCACUUCCUUGGCCAAGGAAGAUCUUCUACAGGAGCAAGAGGCAACACCAAUUAUUAAGAAAGCAGCUAUAGAUGUGUCUCCAGAGGCUACCAAUGGAUCAGUUGGGAAGGAAGAGAUGAAGGCUGGAAAUGGUUCUCUUCGCGAACCAUCAAAUGGCUCAGCGCUGAAAGAUACUGCAGCUGAGGGGCCUGAAAUUUCACCAAAGACCAAUACUCCCGGCACCCAAUAGACAUUUUGUGUUGUUUUAGGAGAUGAAACCAGCCUAUGAUGAGAGGCUUAUAAAUGAUUUCAAUGGUGCGACAUUGUUACUCUAUUGAUAGAAAUAAUGAGGCAGAGGCAGAUGAUGAACAUGCUUCUGCGGUGUUUGAAACUGCACUUGAAGGCGAAAAACAUCAAGCUACACUUUUUCUAGGUUGAAACUGUUCCUGUAUUGUAAUGGGAGUGCUUGGUUAGGUGUCAUGACUUCUCUAAAAUAUUUUUCAUUUGCAUUGUAUAUUGGGUAAACGUCUCUUAAAUUUCGAAAGAAACUACAAAAUGUGAGGAAAGAAAAUCUAU